CUACGGGGGGCUCCAGUGAGGAAUAUUGCACAAUGGGGGGAACCCUGAUGCAGCAACGCCGCGUGGAGGAUGACGCAUUUCGGUGUGUAAACUCCUUUUAUAUGUCAAGAAAAUGACGGUAGCAUAUGAAUAAGCACCGGCUAACUCCGUGCCAGCAGCCGCGGUAAUACGGAGGGUGCAAGCGUUACUCGGAAUCACUGGGCGUAAAGGACGCGUAGGCGGGUUGGAAAGUCAGGUGUGAAAUCCUACAGCUUAACUGUAGAACUGCACUUGAAACUUCGAAUCUAGAGUAUGGGAGGGGGAGGUGGAAUUAGUGGUGUAGGGGUAAAAUCCGUAGAUAUCACUAGGAAUACCUAAAGCGAAGGCGAUCUCCUGGAACAUUACUGACGCUAAGGCGUGAAAGCGUGGGGAGCAAACAGGAUUAGAUACCCCAGUAGUC
rnacentral:rRNA from 1 species